rnacentral:rRNA from 1 species
CACGUAGGGCGCGAGCGUUGUCCGGAAUUAUUGGGCGUAAAGAGCUCGUAGGCGGUUUGUCGCGUCUGCUGUGAAAACUCGGGGCUUAACCCCGGGCCUGCAGUGGGUACGGGCAGACUAGAGUGCGGUAGGGGAGACUGGAAUUCCUGGUGUAGCGGUGAAAUGCGCAGAUAUCAGGAGGAACACCAACAGCGAAGGCAGAUCUCUGGGACGUGACUGACGCUGAGACGCGAAAGCGUGGGGAGCAAACAGG